UCGGGAAACUGAGAGUAAUACCUUAUACGCCCUACGGGGGAAAGAUUUAUCGGAGAAGGAUUAGCCCGCGUUAGAUUAGGUAGUUGGUGGGGUAAUGGCCUACCAAGCCUACGAUCUAUAGCUGGUUUGAGAGGAUGAUCAGCCACACUGGGACUGAGACACGGCCCAGACUCCUACGGGAGGCAGCAGUAGGGAAUCUUAGACAAUGGGGGAAACCCUGAUCUAGCCAUGCCGCGUGUGUGAUGAAGGCCUUAGGGUCGUAAAGCACUUUCGCCAGAGAUGAUAAUGACAGUAUCUGGUAAAGAAACCCCGGCUAACUCCGUGCCAGCAGCCGCGGUAAUACGGAGGGGGUUAGCGUUGUUCGGAAUUACUGGGCGUAAAGCGCACGUAGGCGGAUUAGUAAGUUAGAGGUGAAAUCCCAGGGCUCAACCCUGGAACUGCCUUUAAUACUGCUAGUCUUGAGUUCGAGAGAGGUAAGUGGAAUUCCGAGUGUAGAGGUGAAAUUCGUAGAUAUUCGGAGGAACACCAGUGGCGAAGGCGGCUUACUGGCUCGAUACUGACGCUGAGGUACGAAAGUGUGGGGAGCAAACAGGAUUAGAUACCCUGGUAGUCCACACCGUAAACGAUGAAUGCCAGACGUCAGCAAGCAUGCUUGUUGGUGUCACACCUAACGGAUUAAGCAUUCCGCCUGGGGAGUACGGUCGCAAGACUAAAACUCAAAGAAAUUGACGGGGACCCGCACAAGCGGUGGAGUAUGUGGCUUAAUUCGAUGCAACGCGAAGAACCUUACCAGGGUUUGAAAUCAUUUCAAAACUCCUUGAAAGAGGAGCCUCCUUCGGGAUGGAAUGACAGGUGGUGCAUGGCUGUCGUCAGCUCGUGUUGUGAAAUGUCGAGUUAAGUCUCGUAACGAGCGCAACCCAUGUCUCUUGUUGCUCACUGAGUGCUUAAGAGAGACUGCCGACCAACAUCGGAGGAAGGUGUGGAUGAUGUCAAGUCAGCAUGCCCCUUACAUCCUGGGCUACACACGUACUACAAUGGUAAGGACAAUGAGCUGCGAUCCUGCGAAGGCUAGCCAAUCUCAAAAACCUUAUCUCAGUUCGGAUUGCACUCUGCAACUCGAGUGCAUGAAGGUGGAAUCGCUAGUAAUCGCUGGUCAGCUAUACAGCGGUGAAUACGUUCCCGGGCCUUGUACACACCGCCCGUCACACCAUGGAAGUCGACUCUUCCCUAAGUCGUUACUCGAACCCAUUGGGACGAGGAUGCCGAAGGCAGGGUUGGUGACUAGGGUGAAGUCGUAACAAGGUAGCCGUACUGGAAGGUGUGGCUG
rnacentral:rRNA from 1 species